rnacentral:rRNA from 1 species
UACGAAGGGGGCUAGCGUUGUUCGGAAUUACUGGGCGUAAAGCGCACGUAGGCGGAUUGUUAAGUCAGAGGUGAAAUCCCGGAGCUCAACUUCGGAACUGCCUUUGAUACUGGCAAUCUCGAGUCCGGAAGAGGUUAGUGGAAUUCCCAGUGUAGAGGUGAAAUUCGUAGAUAUUGGGAAGAACACCAGUGGCGAAGGCGGCUAACUGGUCCGGUACUGACGCUGAGGUGCGAAAGCGUGGGGGAGCAAACAGGG